AUGCACGCUGGCGGCGUGCCUCAUACAUGCAAGUCGAGCGAACAGACGAGGAGCUUGCUCCUCUGACGUUAGCGGCGGACGGGUGAGUAACACGUGGAUAACCUACCUAUAAGACUGGGAUAACUUCGGGAAACCGGAGCUAAUACCGGAUAACAUGUUGAACCGCAUGGUUUAACAGUGAAAGACGGUCUUGCUGUCACUUAUAGAUGGAUCCGCGCCGCAUUAGCUAGUUGGUAAGGUAACGGCUUACCAAGGCAACGAUGCGUAGCCGACCUGAGAGGGUGAUCGGCCACACUGGAACUGAGACACGGUCCAGACUCCUACGGGAGGCAGCAGUAGGGAAUCUUCCGCAAUGGGCGAAAGCCUGACGGAGCAACGCCGCGUGAGUGAAGAAGGUCUUCGGAUCGUAAAACUCUGUUAUUAGGGAAGAACAAAUGUGUAAGUAACUAUGCACGUCUUGACGGUACCUAAUCAGAAAGCCACGGCUAACUACGUG
rnacentral:rRNA from 1 species